rnacentral:rRNA from 1 species
AGCGAACGCUGGCGGCAGGCCUAACACAUGCCAGUCGAACGGAUCCUUCGGGAUUAGUGGCGGACGGGUGUGAAACACGUGGGAACGUGCCCUUUGGUUCGGAAACACUCAGGAAAACGUGCUCUAAUACCGGAUGUGCCCUUCGGGGGAAAGAUUUAUCGCCAUUGGAGCGGCCCGCGUCUGAUUAGCUAGUUGGUGAGGUAACGGCCCACCAAGGCGACGAUCAGUAGCUGGUCUGAGAGGAUGAUCAGCCACACUGGGACUGAGACACGGCCCAGACUCCUACGGGAGGCAGCAGUGGGGAAUCUUGCGCAAUGGGCGAAAGCCUGACGCAGCCAUGCCGCGUGAAUGAUGAAGGUCUUAGGAUUGUAAAAUUCUUUCAGCGGGGACGAUAAUGACGGUACCCGCAGAAGAAGCCCCGGCUAACUUCGUG